AUGAAAAGGAGCGUGGAAUCACGCACACCCUUUCUUCUCCAUGCAGCGCAAUCCCAGGCUCUGCAGCUUCAGGUUGGACUCUCCUUGCCACCUUGCCACCACUUCAGAGAAUCCAUUAAAUGUCUUCAUGACCAACCGCCACCUCUUGCCAAGCACAAAGCUCUCCAUGUUAGCCAGAUGUUUUGACGUGCUGAUUUGCCAAGCAUGGCAAAGCUUGACAAAUCUUCCUCUGAACACCCCAACUUCUACUCUUUCGCUAUGUACCACAAAUAAAGUGCUAAGAGUUAUGAAACAAUA
ensembl:lncRNA novel transcript, antisense to PYGB